AGCCUUUGCAGGCGCUUCCUCUGCACGGUUUCGAACCUCCUCCGACAAGGACGACAAUGAAUUCCUCCCGUGCCUGUUCCCGAGGGGGUGGGGGAGGGCGCCCUUUGGAGUGAUUUGGAAAGUUGUUGCGGAGGAAACGAUUUCCUGAGCUUCCUGCAACCCGGUUCUGGACGACUGCAGAGUGGAGGACUUGAACUUGCUCCGAAGUCCUCGUCCACAUCGUCUCGGCCCCCAGGCCCAUUGCUGUCAUCGCCCCCCCCCGCCCCACACACACACGAGGUAGUUAAUGAAGGGGAUUCAAGCCUUGCCACUGCGCUGCAGGAAGUGGUGGAGGCAAAUCCUUGUGGAUGAAAACCAUAUUUUAUCAGCCAAAAAAACCGUGACUGAAUGUACAUAACUGGAGUGGUGACUGGAGCUUUUGGAUUUCAAGUUCCACCUAUAAAGACAGGAAUGAAGAAUACAAAAGACAGUUCACCCAUCUGCCUGGCACAGAGAAGCUAAUAGCAGUAAAGACAGACAGAAAUCUGCAACGCAACAAAACGAGCUCCAGACGCACGUGCCACUUUGUGCAUCUGGCUUUCCAUGGGUCCUGGGGGAUCAAACGCAGGUUGUCAGGCUUUGCAGGUGAGCGCCUUCACUGCUCAGCCAUCGUUCCAGCCCCUGCCGUGUCUCGAGAAAACUUUCCUUCAAAACCAUCAGCUGAACUAAUCUGCUUUUUCCAUAAGCCAUUUCUGGUCAGAUAUUCUGUUCCAGCAAUGACAAAGUAACUGACAUGGAUAACUGGUGCCAAGAAGUGGCGGCCAUUAUUACAGUCUCCUGACCAUGUGGUUUUGAGUAUUUUGGAACUGGUUUACAGGAGAAAUGCAGACUAAUUUGGAACUUUAUACCAGAGAAGCCUUAUGAUGGUGUUAGCAGAACUUGAUAGGCCUUUCUGGUGGAAAUUCUGAAAGACUAGGAAUUGUGGACAACGUGGGCUUGGAUAUGAUGUUUCAGAAGAGAGCAAAGACUCCAGCUGGGACUUAACUAGAAGCGGUUUGUAGAUUCUGCAAAUAACCUGGCUACAGUUUGCCUGUGUCCUGAGUACUUGAGAGAAGCUGGAUCUAAAAAUAAUGCAAUAAAGGCAGAACAGCCCUGAUUCUACGGCAUGGCU